rnacentral:rRNA from 1 species
GAUGAACGCUAGCGGCAGGCCUAACACAUGCAAGUCGAGGGAGAGGUUACCUUCGGGUACCCAAAACCGGCGCACGGGUGCGUAACGCGUAUACAAUCUGCCUUUCACAUAGGGAUAGCCCGAAGAAAUUUGGAUUAAUACCUAAUGGUAUAUAAAAGCGGCAUCGUUUUUAUAUUAAAGCUACGGUAGUGAAAGAUGAGUAUGCGUUCUAUUAGCUAGUUGGAGAGGUAACGGCUCCCCAAGGCGACGAUAGAUAGGGGUUCUGAGGGGGAUGUCCCCACACUGGUACUGAGAUACGGACCAGACUCCUACGGGAGGCAGCAGUGAGGAAUAUUGGACAAUGGUCGGAAGACUGAUCCAGCCAUGCCGCGUGCAGGAUGAAGGUCCUAUGGAUGGUAAACUGCUUUUGUAAGGGAAGAAUAAGAGCUACGUGUAGUUUGAUGACGGUACCUUACGAAUAAGCAUCGGCUAACUCCGUG